GAGGGUACAGCUCAGUGAUAGAGCACAUGCCUAGCAUGCAUGAGGUCCUGGGUUCAAUCCCCAGUACCUCCU
rnacentral:tRNA from 1 species